rnacentral:rRNA from 1 species
GACGAACGCUGGCGGCGUGCUUAACACAUGCAAGUCGAACGGAGUGGCGAACGGGUGAGUAACGCGUAAUCAACCUGCCCUUCAGAGGGGGACAACAGUUGGAAACGACUGCUAAUACCGCAUACUGAAGGAGGGGAUUGCGUCUGAUUUGCUAGUUGGAGGGGUAACGGCCCACCAAGGCGAGGAUCAGUAGCCGGUCUGAGAGGAUGAACGGCCAAAUGGGGAAUUAGGCACGGCACAGACUCCUACGGGAGGCAGCAUGGGGGGAUCAUCCGAAAUGGACGAAAGUCUGACGGAGCAACGCCGGGUGAGUGAUGACGGCCUUCGGGUUGUAAAGCUCUGUUAAUCGGGACGCGGUACCGGAAUAGAAAGCAACGGCUAACUACGUGCCAGCAGCCGCGGUAAUUC